AUGAUUUUUUUCCCCUGCCCUGUUAUUUCUUUAGAUGGUGGACACCAUCAUCAGGGGGUGCUGCAUACCUCAAAGCACAAGGGGACAAAAGGGACAGAGAAUGUACAUGUGCUGUUGUCAUACUGGUGCCCCAAAGCACACGUGCAGCUUUUGCAAAAGGUGGUCUAUACGUUCGUAAUCUCUGCAUUUCCUCUUUCCAGUGUGGAGGAGUCUCACUACUCUCAUCAUCAUCGGAUUCAGAGCACGACCGUGAUCGAGGUGGGGUGUGGUAUCGCUGUAAAACCAAAGCAAGACAAUUACUUUUUAUGUUACACAGCCUCCUUUAAAGAAAAAAUAUAUUCUGUGUCUGGUAUCUCUCAUACAAGUUUUGCAUGCAUCUUCAUAACAAGCCAGACAGUGUUAUUUACACAAAGGUCAGGAAGAACACAAAUUCUGAAUUCCCUGUGAAAGAUACCCACUUUUGGUACACAUAUAUGCUAUAUGUGAGCCUGAUAACAUAGCUAGCUGCCUUUUCAUACUCUAAGGGCACUUAUCAAAGCCCGAGAGGGACCAGCUAACCUGUUUUUCCAAAACACAAAAGAUAAAAUUUAGGAAGUUCUCUUUACAUUACACUUUCUGGAAUAACACAAUUACAGCAGAUAACCAAACUUCCCCCCUCCAGGAUACUAAAGCACAGAUGUUUCAGUUCAGUUAGCAGAUACUUAGCUGCCUGUAAUCACAGAAACAAGCUCCGUUUCAAAAGUCACUGCUGUUCAGCCCUUAAGAAAUGGGCAGUUUAAGACAUUUCUAAGCAAAACAUCUUUCAAAAAAAGUGGAAUGAAGCUUCAUGCUAGAAAAUGAUGCUUAGGCACAGCAUUUAAAAAGGUAAAAAGAGCUUUUCCUGCAGCAGCAGAAAAAUGGUCAUAAUCUUGCCAAGUC
rnacentral:lncRNA from 1 species